AUCACUGCCUGGAAGAGUGCAGUUCUAAGAACUCUAGGCCUCUCAUAGAGGACUAUAUAUAUAUAGUUCUAAGAACUCUAGGUCUCUCAUAGAGGACUAUAUAUAUAUAUAUAUAUAUAUAUAGUCCUCUAUGAGAGGCCUAGAGUUCUUAGAACUGCACUCUUCCAGGCAGUGAUU